UACGGAGGGUGCGAGCGUUGUCCGGAAUCAUUGGGCGUAAAGGGCGCGUAGGUGGCCUGGUCAGUCCGUGGUGAAAGCGCGGGGCUCAACCCCGCGUCGGCCAUGGAUACUGCGAGGCUGGAGCACUGUAGAGGCAGGCGGAAUUCCGGGUGUAGCGGUGGAAUGCGUAGAGAUCCGGAAGAACACCGGUGGCGAAGGCGGCCUGCUGGGCAGUUGCUGACACUGAGGCGCGACAGCGUGGGGAGCAAACAGG
rnacentral:rRNA from 1 species